UUCUACAAGGAGUCUACAUAAAUGAUAAAAUUUAGAUGUGAUUAUUUGGGGCACCUGUUAGAAAAAAAUAUACUAAAAAAUAGAUUAGAGUAAAAAUUGCUAUAUAAAAAUACUUAUCAUCUUAUGCAUGAUGUCACUAUCCUCAAGGAUAGAUUUUACCUCUCGAAAAAUAAAUCUCGAUGCAACAGGUUUUUAGGUGACCACUCACAACAGGUGCGUCUCAAUCGUGUGCACUCAGGAUAUGAAGUCUCAGAAAUAUGCAACUAUCUUUGACUCGAAAAAUUUCUAUUGAAUUAUAUAAAUAAAACUUUAUGAAAAAGGAGAUCGAAUAAGCUAU
rnacentral:lncRNA from 1 species